rnacentral:rRNA from 1 species
CCUACGUGAGGCUGCAGUGGGGAAUAUUGGACAAUGGGCGAAAGCCUGAUCCAGCCAUGCCGCGUGUGUGAAGAAGGCCUUCGGGUUGUAAAGCACUUUCAGUGGGGAAGAAAGCCUUGGGGCUAAUACCCUCGAGGAAGGACAUCACCCACAGAAGAAGCACCGGCUAACUCCGUGCCAGCAGCCGCGGUAAUACGGAGGGUGCGAGCGUUAAUCGGAAUUACUGGGCGUAAAGCGCGCGUAGGCGGUCUGAUAAGCCGGUUGUGAAAGCCCCGGGCUCAACCUGGGAACGGCAUCCGGAACUGUCAGGCUAGAGUGCAGGAGAGGAAGGUAGAAUUCCCGGUGUAGCGGUGAAAUGCGUAGAGAUCGGGAGGAAUACCAGUGGCGAAGGCGGCCUUCUGGACUGACACUGACGCUGAGGUGCGAAAGCGUGGGUAGCAAACAGGAUUAGAUACCCUGGUAGUC